CACAGAAAGGACUGACAGAUUGAUGACUCUCUCUCUCUAUUCUGUGGGUGGUUGUGCAUGGACAUUCUAAGCUGAUGGAGUGAUUUGUCUGGUUAAUUCCAAUAACAAAUGAGACUCUGCUGUGCCAAAUAGUAAUAUAACCCCUGGGCUAUCUCUUGAAUCAGCCUCCUCCUUUCUAUUCCCAUUACCUCUGCCCUAACUUGGGCCUCAUUAUCUCUUGCUUGAACUAUUGCAAAAGUCUUGUAACCAAUGCGCC
rnacentral:ncRNA from 1 species